GACGAACCGUCCAAACGUUAUUCGGAAUUACUGGGCUUAAAGGGUGCGUAGGCGGCGCGGUAAGUUGGGUGUGAAAUCCCUCGGCUCAACCGAGGAAUAGCGCUCGAUACUGCCGUGCUUGAGGGAGACAGAGGUGAGUGGAACUUAGGGUGGAGCGGUGAAAUGCGUUGAUAUCCUAAGGAACACCAGUGGCGAAAGCGACUCACUGGGUCUCUACUGACGCUGAGGCACGAAAGCUAGGGGAGCGAAC
rnacentral:rRNA from 1 species